GGGUUGUGAGGUUAAGCGACUAAGCGUACACGGUGGAUGCCCUGGCAGUCAGAGGCGAUGAAGGACGUGCUAAUCUGCGAUAAGCGUCGGUAAGGUGAUAUGAACCGUUAUAACCGGCGAUUUCCGAAUGGGGAAACCCAGUGUGUUUCGACACACUAUCAUUAACUGAAUCCAUAGGUUAAUGAGGCGAACCGGGGGAACUGAAACAUCUAAGUACCCCGAGGAAAAGAAAUCAACCGAGAUUCCCCCAGUAGCGGCGAGCGAACGGGGAGCAGCCCAGAGCCUGAAUCAGUGUGUGUGUUAGUGGAAGCGUCUGGAAAGGCGCGCGAUACAGGGUGACAGCCCCGUACACAAAAAUGCACAUACUGUGAGCUCGAUGAGUAGGGCGGGACACGUGGUAUCCUGUCUGAAUAUGGGGGGACCAUCCUCCAAGGCUAAAUACUCCUGACUGACCGAUAGUGAACCAGUACCGUGAGGGAAAGGCGAAAAGAACCCCGGCGAGGGGAGUGAAAAAGAACCUGAAACCGUGUACGUACAAGCAGUGGGAGCACGCUUAGGCGUGUGACUGCGUACCUUUUGUAUAAUGGGUCAGCGACUUAUAUUCUGUAGCAAGGUUAACCGAAUAGGGGAGCCGAAGGGAAACCGAGUCUUAACUGGGCGUUAAGUUGCAGGGUAUAGACCCGAAACCCGGUGAUCUAGCCAUGGGCAGGUUGAAGGUUGGGUAACACUAACUGGAGGACCGAACCGACUAAUGUUGAAAAAUUAGCGGAUGACUUGUGGCUGGGGGUGAAAGGCCAAUCAAACCGGGAGAUAGCUGGUUCUCCCCGAAAGCUAUUUAGGUAGCGCCUCGUGAAUUCAUCUCCGGGGGUAGAGCACUGUUUCGGCAAGGGGGUCAUCCCGACUUACCAACCCGAUGCAAACUGCGAAUACCGGAGAAUGUUAUCACGGGAGACACACGGCGGGUGCUAACGUCCGUCGUGAAGAGGGAAACAACCCAGACCGCCAGCUAAGGUCCCAAAGUCAUGGUUAAGUGGGAAACGAUGUGGGAAGGCCCAGACAGCCAGGAUGUUGGCUUAGAAGCAGCCAUCAUUUAAAGAAAGCGUAAUAGCUCACUGGUCGAGUCGGCCUGCGCGGAAGAUGUAACGGGGCUAAACCAUGCACCGAAGCUGCGGCAGCGACGCUUAUGCGUUGUUGGGUAGGGGAGCGUUCUGUAAGCCUGCGAAGGUGUGCUGUGAGGCAUGCUGGAGGUAUCAGAAGUGCGAAUGCUGACAUAAGUAACGAUAAAGCGGGUGAAAAGCCCGCUCGCCGGAAGACCAAGGGUUCCUGUCCAACGUUAAUCGGGGCAGGGUGAGUCGACCCCUAAGGCGAGGCCGAAAGGCGUAGUCGAUGGGAAACAGGUUAAUAUUCCUGUACUUGGUGUUACUGCGAAGGGGGGACGGAGAAGGCUAUGUUGGCCGGGCGACGGUUGUCCCGGUUUAAGCGUGUAGGCUGGUUUUCCAGGCAAAUCCGGAAAAUCAAGGCUGAGGCGUGAUGACGAGGCACUACGGUGCUGAAGCAACAAAUGCCCUGCUUCCAGGAAAAGCCUCUAAGCAUCAGGUAACAUCAAAUCGUACCCCAAACCGACACAGGUGGUCAGGUAGAGAAUACCAAGGCGCUUGAGAGAACUCGGGUGAAGGAACUAGGCAAAAUGGUGCCGUAACUUCGGGAGAAGGCACGCUGAUAUGUAGGUGAAGUCCCUCGCGGAUGGAGCUGAAAUCAGUCGAAGAUACCAGCUGGCUGCAACUGUUUAUUAAAAACACAGCACUGUGCAAACACGAAAGUGGACGUAUACGGUGUGACGCCUGCCCGGUGCCGGAAGGUUAAUUGAUGGGGUUAGCGCAAGCGAAGCUCUUGAUCGAAGCCCCGGUAAACGGCGGCCGUAACUAUAACGGUCCUAAGGUAGCGAAAUUCCUUGUCGGGUAAGUUCCGACCUGCACGAAUGGCGUAAUGAUGGCCAGGCUGUCUCCACCCGAGACUCAGUGAAAUUGAACUCGCUGUGAAGAUGCAGUGUACCCGCGGCAAGACGGAAAGACCCCGUGAACCUUUACUAUAGCUUGACACUGAACAUUGAGCCUUGAUGUGUAGGAUAGGUGGGAGGCUUUGAAGUGUGGACGCCAGUCUGCAUGGAGCCGACCUUGAAAUACCACCCUUUAAUGUUUGAUGUUCUAACGUGGACCCGUAAUCCGGGUUGCGGACAGUGUCUGGUGGGUAGUUUGACUGGGGCGGUCUCCUCCUAAAGAGUAACGGAGGAGCACGAAGGUUGGCUAAUCCUGGUCGGACAUCAGGAGGUUAGUGCAAUGGCAUAAGCCAGCUUGACUGCGAGCGUGACGGCGCGAGCAGGUGCGAAAGCAGGUCAUAGUGAUCCGGUGGUUCUGAAUGGAAGGGCCAUCGCUCAACGGAUAAAAGGUACUCCGGGGAUAACAGGCUGAUACCGCCCAAGAGUUCAUAUCGACGGCGGUGUUUGGCACCUCGAUGUCGGCUCAUCACAUCCUGGGGCUGAAGUAGGUCCCAAGGGUAUGGCUGUUCGCCAUUUAAAGUGGUACGCGAGCUGGGUUUAGAACGUCGUGAGACAGUUCGGUCCCUAUCUGCCGUGGGCGCUGGAGAACUGAGGGGGGCUGCUCCUAGUACGAGAGGACCGGAGUGGACGCAUCACUGGUGUUCGGGUUGUCAUGCCAAUGGCACUGCCCGGUAGCUAAAUGCGGAAGAGAUAAGUGCUGAAAGCAUCUAAGCACGAAACUUGCCCCGAGAUGAGUUCUCCCUGACCCUUUAAGGGUCCUGAAGGAACGUUGAAGACGACGACGUUGAUAGGCCGGGUGUGUAAGCGCAGCGAUGCGUUGAGCUAACCGGUACUAAUGAACCGUGAGGCUUAACCUUACAACGCCGAAGCUGUU
rnacentral:rRNA from 1 species